CCCCCAUAAAAUCAAAAAGCAUCAUCAUUUUAAAUGAUGAAAGCAAUAGUGUUAACACUUAUUAUUUACGAGACAUAUUUCGUCUAAUAUAAGCAAACAAAGAUGUGUUUAUCGGAUUAGUGUUUACUGUUAUUGAUAGCAAUCUGCGAUUGUUACUAAACAAAAUGUAGUUUUUCAAGAAUGAUUGACAUAGUUUUAUUUACUCUGUGAAUGAAUUAUAUGAUAUUUCUAUAUGAAACUCUUUUUUUU
rnacentral:lncRNA from 1 species